CGGUAACAGAGAGGUGCUUGCACCUUUGCUGACGAGCGGCGGACGGGUGAGUAAUGCUUGGGAAUAUGCCUUUUGGUGGGGGACAACAGUUGGAAACGACUGCUAAUACCGCAUGAUGUCUACGGACCAAAGUGGGGGACCUUCGGGCCUCACGCCAAAAGAUUAGCCCAAGUGGGAUUAGCUAGUUGGUAAGGUAAUGGCUUACCAAGGCGACGAUCCCUAGCUGGUUUGAGAGGAUGAUCAGCCACACUGGGACUGAGACACGGCCCAGACUCCUACGGGAGGCAGCAGUGGGGAAUAUUGCACAAUGGGCGCAAGCCUGAUGCAGCCAUGCCGCGUGUGUGAAGAAGGCCUUCGGGUUGUAAAGCACUUUCAGUAAGGAGGAAAGGUUAAGUUUUAAUAGAGCUUAGCUGUGACGUUACUUACAGAAGAAGCACCGGCUAACUCCGUGCCAGCAGCCGCGGUAAUACGGAGGGUGCGAGCGUUAAUCGGAAUUACUGGGCGUAAAGCGUACGCAGGCGGUUUGUUAAGCGAGAUGUGAAAGCCCCGGGCUCAACCUGGGAACUGCAUUUCGAACUGGCAAACUAGAGUGUGAUAGAGGGUGGUAGAAUUUCAGGUGUAGCGGUGAAAUGCGUAGAGAUCUGAAGGAAUACCGAUGGCGAAGGCAGCCACCUGGGUCAACACUGACGCUCAUGUACG
rnacentral:rRNA from 1 species